rnacentral:rRNA from 1 species
AUUGAACGCUGGCGGCAUGCUUUACACAUGCAAGUCGAACGGUAACAGGCCGCAAGGUGCUGACGAGUGGCGAACGGGUGAGUAAUGCAUCGGAACGUGCCCAGUCGUGGGGGAUAACGCAGCGAAAGCUGUGCUAAUACCGCAUACGAUCUGUGGAUGAAAGCGGGGGACCGUAAGGCCUCGCGCGAUUGGAGCGGCCGAUGUCAGAUUAGGUAGUUGGUGGGGUAAAGGCUCACCAAGCCGACGAUCUGUAGCUGGUCUGAGAGGACGACCAGCCACACUGGGACUGAGACACGGCCCAGACUCCUACGGGAGGCAGCAGUGGGGAAUUUUGGACAAUGGGCGCAAGCCUGAUCCAGCAAUGCCGCGUGCAGGAAGAAGGCCUUCGGGUUGUAAACUGCUUUUGUACGGAGCGAAAAGGCUCUCUCUAAUACAGGGGGCUCAUGACGGUACCGUAAGAAUAAGCACCGGCUAACCACGUGCCAGCAGCCGCCGCGGUAA